GCCUCUUCCUCCCUCCCUCCUCCUCCUCCCCCGUUCCCGGACCCGUCGAAGCCCACGGAGGGAGCGGGAAUGGAGCCGGGCCAGGUCUCCACACAGUGCAGGUGGUUUCCAGCUGUGACCUCCUGUCCAAUGGAGCAUCCCUGGAUCCCACCGGUACGGCUCCGACGGGUGGGAUUUCAUCUUCUUCCAGCUGGGAUCUGGGAGCUUUGCAGUGUCCAUUGGUGCCACCUGGAUCACCCAGAGGUGCUGGGAAUCCAAAGGGAUCACGGUGGAGCAGAUGAAGCAUUACCUGGGGCACACUGAUGUGGAAGAUCUCCCAAAAUACAUCAGAUAUGGUCAGGAGGCUGUGGAGUACAAAGGUAGCACAACAAAAAGCUGUCCUCAAGUGCUGCAUCUCCACUGCACCCACAUGUCCUGCCUGCUCCGUGCCAGCUCUUGCUCUCCAGUUGCUCCUCAGAGGCCACGAGGGGCUGGCAAAGCCCCUGAGCAGGCACCAUGGACAGGUUUGAAAUGGUAAGUUCAAUUGAUCUUCAACUAGUCAGUUUGGUAGUAGAAUUAACCUUUCCUCAAAAUAUAGCCUCUGCUUGCCCAUUUUGAAAGCACUCACAUAGUGUGAAUUUGCCUUAUCUUGUAUGUGUUAUGUUUACCUGAAAAACCUUUUGAAGAGAAAAACACAUUUACUGUU